UUCAGCACAGAUUGAGAUUGUUGAUAGCAGAGGUUUUAGCUUGAGCUUCAAAACCAACAAUAUCAAUGAGAAGCAUGGCAUCUUUCACUGACUUAGUCGAAGAUGCUUUUACGAGGAAAGAUGAGACUUUUAUGGCUCAACUCUACGGAGAGAUGUUGGAUUGCCUGAAAGUCAACAGCAUUGUUACCAACGAUAAUUUGUUGGGAUCGUCUCGGUGUUGAUAUUUUCCGAAAUAUCAAUGCCGAAUUUUACACACCGCAGAGUGCCAAGACAAAGAACACAAAUUUGGUUGCCUUAAGCAUUUCAAGUUCUUCAAGUUCAGUUUUCAUUUGUUCCACGCUUGGCGAAGAAACAUGGUCACUCACAAGGCUUCGUGUAUCGACCUGGCCUUCAUUGAUAGAAAAUUUUCAUGAGUGGCCGCAGAACAUUCUUUUGAUUUUGUACAAGUUCUACUGAAUAAACACGUUCCUUAUGUUUUU